GACGAACGCUGGCGGCGUGCUUCAUACAUGCAAGUCGAACGAGGUCCAACGGGUAGCAAUACCCGUGAAGACCUAGUGGCGAACGGGUGAGUAACACGUGAGGAACCUGCCCCGAGACGGAUAACAGUGGGAACCGACUGCUAAUACCGGAUAUCCCCACCGGAUCGCAUGGUCUGGUGAGGAAAUGGAUUCCGCUUCGGGAGGGCCUCGCGGCCUAUCAGCUUGUUGGUGGGGUAANGGCCUACCAAGGCGACGACGGGUAGCUGGUCUGAGAGGACGAUCAGCCACACUGGGACUGAGACACGGCCCAGACUCCUACGGGAGGCAGCAGUAGGGAAUCUUGCGCAAUGGGCGAAAGCCUGACGCAGCAACGCCGCGUGA
rnacentral:rRNA from 1 species